UGGUAACUACUGGACCUAGAAUAGUCAGACAUGUUUCAGACAUAGAAUUUCCUUUAAGAAUAACUAGCCAUAUUCUGGGAAGGACAUAACACUACUAUUAAAUUUAAAUACUUGCAUAAUAUUUAAUAACACAACAAACAAUGUGCCACAUCUGUAUAUACUUCCUUUGUGCCCAACUUUAUCACUGAGUUUGGUAACUUUCAGACAAAGUCCAAACAGAUGGCAAUUUCAGUGACUUAACCUUACUUGUUUUUAAACAGCUAUGUAUCUGACUUGACCUAAAGAGCAGUGAUAUAUACUGAAGUCUCAACAAGAAUUGUGAAAUGUGUAGACCACCAUGGCCACUGUAUCACAUUUUGUCCACAUUAGCCCUCAUCAAGCCAGCACUUUGGUAAUGGAAGGAGAUGCACAAAGGUAUACUCUGACAGACAGCCA
rnacentral:lncRNA from 1 species